rnacentral:lncRNA from 1 species
AUGAUCAAAUUUAGUGCCUUAAAAGCAGAUGAUCAAAUUUAGUGUCUUAAAAGCAGAUGAUGAGUAAAUUUACUUUUUUACGUAACUAAUGAAGAAUAAAUGUUCAGGCCUAUAAGUAGUUUCUCAUCAGAUAAGAGUCAGAUUUGCAGUCUUAUACAGAUGAUAAGUAAAUAUGCAGCUGUUUCUCUGCGUAUAAAAUAAAUUUACUGCAUUACGUAACUGAUGAUGAAUAAAUUUACUACUGUACAUCACGCGAUAGAUUUACUGUCUUACCUAGCCGAUGAAGGGCGAGUGUAGAUUUACAGUUGCAUCUCUUCAGAAGAAAGCCAGAUUUACAAGUUUUACACGGCCGAUGAAUAGCGGAUUUACUGUUUUUUACUAUCCGAUAGAAGUAAAUUUACUGUCUUAAGUCAGCCUGGUGAAGGUAAAUGUAGAUUUACAGUUGUAUCUCUUCAGAAGAAGGCCAGAUUUACACAGCCGAUGAAGAGCGAGUGUGUAAUUGUGUCUCAUCAGAUGAAGAGCAGAUUUACUGUUUUACUGCCCGAUAAAAGUAAAUUUACCGUCUUAAGUCAGCCUUGAUGAAGGGUAAAUCUUCUCUGUCUUACAAACCGACGUACUGAAGAAAGACACACUUUCUACUUCGCUGUAGGAUAAAUUUAUCAUUUAAACUCGUCCGAUAAGAAAACACAUUUAUAGUUUUUUAUUUUUUUACCUCGACCGACAGAGGAAAAGGAUGAAAAGAAGGGGGAAAAAUAGAGAAUAUUCUAAACGAACAGUAUUUUAAAAGAAGUAAAACAAGAUAGAAAAGGUACAUCUGUAAUCUGACUGGAACAAAUCGUUUAACACAUCAUUGUGUUUGUUAAAGUCGAGAUUGCUCGACCAUGAUAUCCGACCAUACUUUCAUCCAUCUGGGCCCCGUACGUGACCACCGUCCCGCAUUAAGCUAAUCUACAGGCAGAUGGUUGCAAAUCACAAUAGCUGCAGAUGCAGAUAUCUACCAAUUACAUCUUGUCCUACCUCAGGAGGUAGGAGGAGAAACCUUGACUGGUUUACUGACCUGACGUUCGAGUGCGUGGUUUCUUGCGUGCUCCUAACUUUUACUAAAGCCGCGUCUGUCAAUAAGACGGGGAAACACCCCGUCUAUUUUUGACUCUCCCGUUUGAAGAAAAAUCGGUUUUUCGGUUAUUUUGUUUCCAACUGGCACGUGGCCCAAAAUUCACCCAAUGGCGAUAUCGGCACCACUUACUUAGGUGGUGGAAGAACAAAGAAAGUGUCCGUUGUAAAAUUUAAUGUACUUUUUUUUUUAUUGUUUGUUUCUUCGGCUUAGAGAGGUUUGACGUCACCGUUUUGGAAAGUUGCCAGAACCAUUUUGGAAUGAAACUGCCAUCUGGUGCUGUAGAGGCGCGGAAGGAUAGAUUUUUUUUUUUUUUUCGCUUUCUUUUUGUCUCGCCUCUUUCUUCAUCCCGAAUGCUUUGCACAGAACUAAUAACUGUUCCGAAAUGUGCGCCUUUUUACGAUUACAUCCUCUACUUUUUUUUACGUUUAUUAAAAAUCGUAUUAAUCCAGUUUCCGAGAAAAACGUGGACAAGCCGUGAUUUAACCGCAAAUUUCUCGACCGGUAUUACACCCAACCAGAACCCUAUUAUUGACCCGAGUUUCUGUGGUCAUUUAAACGGUACUGUAACAAGCUGGUAAACGUUGCGGCCCCCGGAGUGCUCGUGUGACUCCAGAAAAAUGCCCUCCUUUCCACAAUGGAAGGAAGUAUCGCCGCUAUUCUUUGACGUUAGCCAAACUCGCGUGUGAUCUGUCAAUAUCUUACAUUGUUAAGUAUCUAUCGGUGAAAACCGUUCUGCAAUUUGCAAGUUUCUACUUGGCAUAUUUCGCAUAUACAUAUGCCACCUGACAGAACGGGAUUGAGGAAAAGAAGAAGAAGAAAAACAGGAAAACUAAUAGGAAAGCCACGAAUGAUUUGUGUCCUUCACCCAUUUUGCACCCUACUCCCGUUUCCACCAACAGUUAACCAUUCUGUGUAAUUCGACACGUCAUCUCUUCACCUGACCUAACAUAUCGUUUCAAAUGGCCACUUCAACCUUUACGUUCUCCCCAGAAGUGCCGGGAAUUUUGAGAAAGUCAAACAGUUAUCUAGAAAUUUAUACACUCGUAUAUAAAAAUAUGAACUUUUAUUUUUUGAUUCCGUUUAUCAGAUUUAAAAUCUUUAAUAACGUUCGCGUUUUAUAUUUAGUUACAAGACAGAGAGAGUUGUCAAAAAAGUUGCAUCAGUUACUGAUAUAAUUAUAUAUUUAUAGGACUAUACAAAAACCAGGAAUACAGCAACAACAACAACAACGCUUACGGAUUACCAGCUUCCGGGCCUUGGGCUAAUAUAUACGUUUACACUGAAUUUGGGGGCCUAAAAACCAUCAACCCUGAACUUUCUACUUCCGUGAACCUUGGCUGCUGCUAUUUAGCUCUUGAAUAAAUUUGCCUAAGGGUAUUAUGCAGGAAUUUUGAUGUUUUCAAUUGUAAAAGUAUAUCUCUUAAAAGAUAAGAGUGCAUAACAAAUUUCACAAGUCGCGCUCGAAAAUAAAUAUUGUAAUCGCGUUAAAGAGGACGACGACGAUGAUGAUGAUGACUUUUUUUUUAAAAAAGUAAAAUUCGCAUUGCUUUUUGCUUUAUAUACUUCGCCAAAAUAUAUAUAAAGUUCCUCGACUCCACUAGAUUAGGAUCUACAAAAUUCUGACUGAAUACAAUGCAGUGCAGGCACGUUACCUUUUUUUCCUCUAAUCGUGUCUUUUAUGCUUGACUACAUCUUUAAAAAAAUGUUAUCAAGGGUGUAUAGCAUACAGAAUGGAAAUCUGAUAUUUUCUUAGUUAAAUCGGAUCUCCGAGUGGGAAGUUUCUCGAUUUUUGGACAGAAACUGGCAUUGGUAAACGUGGAGAUAACCGAAGACAGAUAGCUUACAUACAAACAUAUUACAGACCCUGACUUAAAAAGUUUAUCUAAGUCUGGAAUGUAUUAGAAACACGAAUGACACUGUCGACUUGUGUAUAUAUAUAUAUACACGAAUAGAAUGCUGAAGGUUUGGUAUUGUGGUGCUGUUAACGAAAAUCGUUGAUGUCACCAAACGAGUCGCAUAUGUAAUUAUACAAUGGUUGCGCUCGUUAAUGUUUGCAGGAUGAUAAAAAAAAAAAUAGCAUGUUUCAACCUCCUACUAUCAGUCUUUACAGGAGUGUAGCAAUGCGGAGUCGCUUCGUGGCGUUUCCUUUGAUGGUAAUUAUUCCGGGAACCAGUUAUCUAAUCAUUUUGAAAUUUGAACAGAUGUCGUCUAAUCCACAUAAUGAACUUUUUCUCGAUAUUUUGACGUCAAAACGAGCCGUUUUAGACACCCAGUCUACGUUUCGAAGCCAGACCAGUGUAUGUGUUGUUAAUGGUACCUUUUACGCUUGGCAUCUUUUCGCGAUUAAAAAUAAUAAUAACUAAAUUUAUUUCGUAACAAGUUGGACGGUUGUUACCAUCAAACUUUUCCUACACAAAAGUAUGCAUUGUUCGACUAAAAUUGUAAACGUUUACGUUUUUAUUGCGUGCAAUCUACCUAACAAAUUCCACCAUUCUGUAAGUAAGUAAAUAAAAAAGUUGUAUAAUCUCUU